rnacentral:lncRNA from 1 species
CAGACAAUUCCUUUAACCUCAUGGCUUGGUUUUUGCUCUGAUAUGCUGUCAACUGUGGGACCUUGUGUGCCUUUUCCAAAUAAUGUCCAAUCAAUUGAAUAUACCACAGGUGAACUCCAAGUUGUAGAAACAAAUCAAUGGAAACAGGAUGCACCUGAGCACAAUUUCAAAUACUUCAAGGGAUUUCUUUUGUUGCAGAAAAAUGUCUAAACCUGUUUUCACUUUGUGGACAGUCAACCAAGUGUAGAUUAUCCUCAAUGUAUUUUAUAAAGUCUAACUUUUUUAAGGGGUCUGAAUACUUUCCAAAUGCACUGCAUGUAAUCAAUAGGGGCUUAAAAAAGGCCCAGGCAGUUAAAUUGGAUUACUGUGUUAUGCCUUGCCACAGAAGUUGGAAUAAGCGCCAUUUGAAAAGGCAGCCCGUUGUGGUAGACAGCAUGGAUUCCCAUGGUGAAGUCCCACUAAAUUGGUUAGACUAAUAAGUUCCAAACAUUUGCCAUUAAACAGAAUUUUCCCCACCAGUUCUAGCAAAAUUCUUGCCCUUUGCUAAGCAGCCAAUAGUUUGACCAUUUUUAUAGAAAAAUCUCUGUAAGGCACACAAUUGUUAACCAGUAAUUUGAUUGAGAAAGACCUGCUGCAUUGGACUUGUAAGACAGAUGGAAAAGCCAAUGAGUUGACAUGCCAAGCUUUGGAAUUGACAGGAUAAGUCAGUUAUAUUAAAUGUCACAUUUUAUUGUACAAGGACAUUAAAUCUCAUGACAAGUACAUUUCAAAGCUUUAUUGAACCUGACAUACGAGAUCUAAAAGCAUCACUGACUUACAUAAGUCACAUGUUUACAAUAUAAAAUUCAAUAAGUUCAUCACAAGUGUAGGCUUCAUCAAGCCUCUGACAUAGUAUCCAUUGCAGUUGCAGGAGUAAAAAUAGCACUGUUAAGGACAUAAGUGCCACAGAUCAGACAGGCUGUUAUUUUCCACAACGCACCUCAAACAUCAGUUAUUCAGUUGAUUACUCCAGGCACAGCCAAAAUGUACACAAGUUAAACUGCUGUCUGAAAUCAGGAACAGUGGGACCAAGUGAAUGAAAGGAGUAGGGGUGUUUCAGAUGUGCGUUUCUUGAAAUCAAGUUACACCCAUUGAUGCUCACCACUGGUCUGUGGCCAUGUAGUUAACGUUGGGGACAACACUAUCUAAAGCUAACCCUUUACCUCAUUCUCCUAACCUGGCACACCAAGUCACCUAACCAGCCACGUUAAUUAUCCUUACCUGCCAUGUAAACAAAUGUCGAGAAACCAUCAGUCUCAACACCGGAACUGACAAAUUCAGGGUGUUUCUUUAUCAGGAAAAGCAGGCACCAAUGUGCUUUUCCUGAUAUCUAGAAACUCCAUGAAUUGCGGUCUGCAAUUACACCAUAAUUGAGUCAAAGAAUAGAGUUUAAUAGAUCCUCAUUAUGGCCUGCCUCCAUGGAGGCAACAGCCAGGUCACUGAAGAACCACUGCUAAAUUAGACAUCUUUCCAGGUAAGCAGGAUGUCAGGAGAUUACUUCGAAAUUGGCCACUAGGGGCAAUGGUGAGCACUAUUACCAUUAAUUAGUCAUGUGUUCAAUCCCAGUGCUAGGCACUUUAAAUGUCUUAACCCUAUCCCAAACCUUAACCAUUUGUGAAUUAAUGCCUAAACAACCGCAAAGGUAUAUGGACAAAUGUCCCAUUCUGCAGUGAGACAGCUUGUUGCCACGCCAUGGGCUUGGGGCCAGUGAGCACAGAGUGUAGGCCUACGGUUUGAAGCAGCCAGGAGGUGCGAGCACAAACAAGAAUCCCAUCAAUGAAAAAACAAGUGUUCUUGCCCGUGCCACCGAAUCCCACAGCUUAGGUGCGCAAAUGGCUACAUUCCGAGAAUUAAUAAUGUGCUCUUUGUAAAACAUUUGCACAUCUAGGCUGCAGAUGUUAGUCUUGGCGUUUGUUCAGUGCAGAUGAACACUCUAGAAGCAGCCCUGUAGGAGCGAGCCCACCACAGGGAUGAGGAGUGUGAAUGCACUGGACUGCAAGGACACACUGGCUCCUUGAGGAGUGGAGUGGUUCGUGGUGGAGAUGUUCGUGGUAGUGACGUUCGUGGUAGUGACGUUCGUGGUAGUGACGUUCGUGGUAGUGACGUUGAACAUCGUGGAAUUCGUCAAGUCAGCUUUGGUCACAUUCGUAGCAAGGGACUGUGUGGUAGCGUUUUGCGCAUGGACCUAAAACGAGAGCAGAGGGGCACGUCACUGACUGGCAUUGGCCAGAUGUGAGAAACGUAAAAAGUUAAACUGAAACAUUUGACGAAUCGGGAAAACAAUACAUCUAAUCACUGUCAAACUCAUUUCAAAGAGCAAAAAAAAAAUAUUGUAAAGUUUAGAUUUAGGCACACAGAAAUGGGUGCGGCAUAAGACAAUCCUAUGGAAAUGUGUUUCUAACAUGAUGUACUUAACACCAAUAACAUUCGUAGUGUUAAGUGGCAUCACCUUCUGGGAAAUGCUAGUCUAGGUCUAAAGGGUGACGGACAACAUCCUGCAGUUGAAUUGCGCAGUGGAGAGAAAGUAGUCGCUCUUCAAGACCUGAGCCCUAGGACCAUGCCUCAGGACUACCUGGUAUGAUGACUCCUUGCUGUCCCCAGUCCACCUGGCCGUGCUGCUGCUCCAGUUUCAACUGUUCUGCCUGCGGCUAUGGAACCCUGACCUGUUCACCGGACGUGCUUGUUGCACCCUCG